UUACUUUGGCAGCACAUAUACUAAAAUUGGAAUGACACAGAAGAAUACAAGGAUGACAUGCAAAUUCGUGAAGUGUUCCAUAUUAAA
rnacentral:snRNA from 1 species